rnacentral:rRNA from 1 species
UACGUAGGCGCAAGCGUUGUUCGGAGUUGCUAGGGCGUAAAGGUGCGUAGGCGGUCCUAUAAGUAUGGUGGUGAAAUCUCCCGGCUUUAACUGGGCGGGGGCCUUCCAGACGGGCGUGGCUUGAGCAGCGGAGGGGGACGGUGGAAUUCCGGGUUGGAGGCGGUGGAAAUGCGUAGAGAUCCGGAGGAACACCGACGGCGCAGGCAGCGUCCUGGCCGCUCUACACUGAGGCACGAAAAGCUGGGGGAGCAAACAGG